ensembl:lncRNA
UUAUGAUGUUCCCGUAGUUUGACCAAUCUUGACUGAAACCUCUCCUGCUGACAUAUAAGGACAUAUUUAAAUUACAACAAGUAUGAGAUCUAACAAAAACACUACAGAAGUGAACAAAAAGUAAACAUAAAAAUAUAUAAAAUCAUUAAAAGCACUUCCAGAAUAUAAGAGAAAUUAAUGCUUAAUCGAAUUGUUCAAAAUAAUUUCUUAAACCAAAUGUUUUAAAACUUGUUGAAUAACAUUUGGUUGACUAAGGACAAUAUCUAAAUGAUUUUCAAAGAGAGGUAAUUAUAGAGAGCAUACAAAGUAUACAACAAUACCUGUCUUUUUCUUGAUGAACGCUGCCUCACAGGUGAGGAUGAGGAUGAUGUAGCAGUCACAGGGGCAGGUGAUGAACUUUUCCUCACAGGUGAGGAUGAGGAUGAUGUAGCAGUCACAGGGGCAGGUGAUGAACGCUGCCUCACAGGUGAGGAUGAGGAUGAUGUAGCAGUCACAGGGGCAGGUGAUGAACGUUUCCUCACAGGUGAGGAUGAGGAUGAUGUAGCAGUAACAGGGGCAGGUGAUGAACUUUUCCUCACAGGUGAGGAUGAGGAUGAUGUAGCAGUAACAGGGGCAGGUGAUGAACGCUGCACAGAAGACCAAAGACACAAAAAAAAUACCACAGAUGUAAACAAAAAGUAAAUAUAAAUGCUUGCUUAAUUCAAAGUGCAUUGAUUUAGUUUAAGGGCAAGACAAAUGCAUUUGGAACAAAUAAUGUUUAAAACACAAAAGGGAGGAGAAAAUAAUGUAGAAUAAUCUUUUGAAACACUGAUAAUAAUUUUAAAUCUUUUAGUUACCAAACAACUAUACAAAGCUUUUGCAAAAAAAGCUUGAAAAGCUUGAAGAGUUCUAUGUACAGAACAUACAGAAAGACAGUCAGAUAUCAAUACGACAACAGAUUUGAGAAAUGAGAGUACCUUGGCUUGCCAAUCCCAGUCUCCAUAGCUGUAAGUAAUCUCUUCUCCUGGUUUAAUGUC